rnacentral:lncRNA from 1 species
CUGUGCUCGCGGCCGUCCGGCCCGUCCGGCAGCCCCGGGUCAGCCCGGUGAACUAAGCGGACCCGGGAUGGCCGAGCCGGGGGCCGGCGUUCUGUGCUCCGUUUGCUCACCCUGACCGUGGCACCCGCAUAAGCCGUCUGUGUGUUCCAGAGAGGCCAGCCCUGCAUGUGCUGUCCGUGAGCGUGCUUGGACCUACGCAUAGGACCCAGCUGAGCGGGACAUUUACACGACUGCUGGGGUCGAGGGCAGAACAGGGGGAAACUGUGUUCUGGCGGAGGCACAGCACCCCGGGAGCACCCAGAGCCUGUGAGUAGAGCCAUAGGCUGUGACACUCCCUUGGCUGGUGUAUUGGCCCAACGCCACCUCCAGGAAGAACACCGGGAUGCCGCAGACAAAGAAGAAGAUGAAGUAGGGGAUGAAGAAGGCUCCUGCAGAAGAGAGAGAGGCAGGGCUGAGCCACACCCGGGCUCUUCCUCAGCCUCCAUCCUUUCAGACCCUCCUCCCCCAACAAACCCGCCCUCCACCAUCCUGUUCUUAAUCUCCCUCCUGACACUUUCCAAGGGCCCACUCCUGCCUGCGUGCAGUCCUGAGUGUUAGGCAGGCACAGGUGGGAAUGUUCUGAUCUGAACCCUACACAGAAUGAGAAAGGCCUUGGAAGGGAAAUUAGUGAAAACUUAGGUGGAAAUUCUAAUAUAUGCACUAUUUAUUUUCUUAGUGUGCUUUACAAAUCUAGUCAAUAGAUUAUUUUUGGAAUAAACACAUGGCUUCUGUAUAACUUGAUAUGCUUAUUAAACUCUUGGUACAUUUUAGAGAAAAACAAAC